rnacentral:ncRNA from 1 species
CUAUGACUAUUUGUCAUGGCGGAAGGAG